rnacentral:rRNA from 1 species
GACUGAAGUGGAGAAAGGUUCCAUGGUAACAGCAGUUGGACAUGGGUCAGUCGGUCCUAAGAGAUAGGGGAAUUCCGUUUCAAAGUGUGCGCUUGUUCGCACGACCUAUCGAAAGGGAAUACGGUUAAAAUUCCGUAACCGGGAUGUAGAUUCUGAACGGCGACGUAAAUGAACUUGGAGACGCCGGUGGGUGCCCUGGGAA